AGCAGUAUAGUGCGCCGCAAUGACCCUAUCAACAUAAAAGUACAAAUUCUCUAAUGAAGACCGUCCGAUCAGCCUCCACAUCACCAAUCCGCGUGAAUCCGCAGUUCAACGGCUCCGAUCGCGGUUGCAGAGCUACUGAAAAUAAAAAGGAUUUUAUGGAGAAAGUGUUUUCUGAGUCUACGAAGAUGAAGGUGAUGGAGGACCAGGUAGAAUUCGAAGAGGGAGAGGCGGUUUUGGUUUUGUACGAAGAAGGCGGUGAAGACGAGGCCGCCUAUGGCUUGGAAGAAGAAGGAGAAGAGGAAGAGGACGGUGAUGAGGACGAUGAUGAGGACGAAGAUGAUGAUGAUGAUGAGGAGGACGAAGAUGAUGACGGUGAUGCGCAGGAGGUUGUACCUUCCUCUGAUGGUCCUCCGGUGCAAUCUGUGGACGAUGACGAGGACGACGAUGAGGACGAUGAUGAUGAUGAUGAGGAUGGCGAUGACGACGAUGACGAUGGUGAAGGCGAUGAUGAUGACGACGACGAUGACGACGAAGAUGAAGAUGAGGAAGUUCAAGGAGAGGGGGAUCUGGGAACUGACUACCUUGUCAGGCCAGUAGGCCGUGCCGAGGAUGAGGAAGAUGCCAGUGAUUUUGAACCGGUGGAGAACGGCGAGGAGGAAGAUGUUGAUGAAGAGGAGGAAGAUGAUGACGACGGUGAUGCCGGUGGGAAGGUUGACGUUCCACCAAAGAGGAAGAGGUCGGAUAAAGAUGACUCGGACGACGACGAUGAUGGUGGAGAGGAUGACGAGAGACCAUCCAAGCGAUAGGGUUGGACCUCCCUCUCCUUGGUUUGAGGUCUGACCAUUGAAACAUAGGCAGCAGGCUCAACACGAAAAGGUUAAAAAAAAAAAAAAGAAGAAGAAGAAAAAAAGCUUUAUGUAGGUAGUGGGUCCUCUGGAUGCACAUGCUCCUUGACAUUGUAGGACUUGGUUUUACUGUCUUGUCCUUGCCGUUAUAUGUGCUAACACAGCAAUCAAACCACGAAUUAGGGGAUGGAUGAUGAUGGCAUUGAUUGAUUUGCUGGAACCAGAAGGAGAGCAAUGAUAGGGAUGGACGAAUUAAAGCCGUUGAUAUGGGAAUUUAGCCCCACCUUGCCAGCUUGCUACCAAACGAAGAUGAAGAUGAAGAUGACACAAAUUAAACAUCCACUGGGCUAAGCUGGGCCCAACAUCCGUAGAGGACGAUCAAUAUGAGUUGAGAUUAGAGGAACUUGGACUGGGCAUAGUUUUAUGGACUUCGGCCCUAUUACCAAACCUAUCAACCUGGGAAAAUGUAAUGGACUCGUUUGGCGAUGCUUAAAAAAAACAGAAAAAAGGGAAAAAUAUAAGGAAAAGUACACCUACUUUUUUCAAACUACCACUUUAUUGUCAAUGUACUCCCAAACUAUCAAUUGUGUUAAUUUUCUUCCAUAAAUUAUCAAGAAA